UACAGAGGGUGCAAGCGUUGUUCGGAAUUAUUGGGCGUAAAGGGUGCGUAGGCGGGCAGGUAAGUCCGUGGUGAAAUCUCUGAGCUUAACUCAGAAACUGCCAUGGAUACUAUUUGUCUUGAAUAUUGUGGAGGUAAGCGGAAUAUGUCAUGUAGCGGUGAAAUGCUUAGAUAUGACAUAGAACACCAAUUGCGAAGGCAGCUUACUACACAGUAAUUGACGCUGAGGCACGAAAGCGUGGGGAUCAAACAGG
rnacentral:rRNA from 1 species